UACAGAGGGUGCGAGCGUUAAUCGGAAUUACUGGGCGUAAAGCGUGCGUAGACGGUUAUUUAAGUCGGAUGUGAAAGCCCCGGGCUCAACCUGGGAAUUGCAUUCGAGACUGAAUAGCUAGGGUGCGGUAGAGGGAAGCGGAAUUUCCGGUGUAGCGGUGAAAUGCGUAGAUAUCGGGAGGAACACCAGUGGCGAAGGCGACUACCUGGCCUGUUCUUGACGCUGAGGCGCGAAAGCUAGGGGAGCAACGGG
rnacentral:rRNA from 1 species